AUUGAACGCUGGCGGCAUGCCUAACACAUGCAAGUCGAACGAGUGGCGGACGGGUGAGUAAUGUCUGGGACACUGCCUGCUGGAGGGGGAUAACUACUGGAAACGGUAGCUAAUACCGCAUACCAUCAGUGGUGCCCAGAUGGGAUUUGCUUGUUGGUGGGGUAACGGCUAACAAAGGCGACGAUCCCUAGCUGGUCUGAGAGGAUGACCAGCCACACUGGAACUGAGACACGGUCCAGACUCCUACGGUAGGCAGCAGUGGGGAAUAUUGGACAAUGGGCGAAAGCCUGAUGCAGCCAUGCCGCGUGUAUGAAGAAGGCCUUCGGGUUGUAAAGUACUUUCAGCGGGGAGGCGUUACCCGCAGAAGAAGCACCGGCUAACUCCGUGCCAGCAGCCGCGGUAAUAC
rnacentral:rRNA from 1 species